rnacentral:rRNA from 1 species
GACGAACGCUGGCGGCGUGCUUAACACAUGCAAGUCGAACGGAAAGGCCCUGCUUUUGUGGGGUGCUCGAGUGGCGAACGGGUGAGUAACACGUGAGUAAACUGCCCUUGACUUUGGGAUAAAUUCAGGAAAAUGGGGCUAAUAUCGGAUAGGAGCUCUUGCUGCAUGGUGGGGGUUGGAAAGUUUCGGCGGUUGGGGAUGGUAUCGCGGCUUAUCCGCUUGUUGGUGGAGUAGUGGCUUACAAAGGUUUUGACGGGUAGCCGGCCUGAGAGGGUGACCGGCCACAUGGGGACUGAGAUACGGACCAGACUCCUACGGGAGGCAGCAGUGGGAAAUAUUGCACAAUGGGCGGAAGCCUGAUGCAGCAACGCCGCGUGCGGGAUGACGGCCUUCGAGUUAUAAACCGCUUUCUCCGGUGACGAAGCGUGAGUGACGGUAAUGGGUAAGAAAGCACCGGCUAACUACGUG